UUAAGUGACUAAGCGUACACGGUGGAUGCCCUGGCAGUCAGAGGCGAUGAAGGACGUGCUAAUCUGCGAUAAGCGUCGGUAAGGUGAUAUGAACCGUUAUAACCGGCGAUUUCCGAAUGGGGAAACCCAGUGUGAUUCGUCACACUAUCAUUAACUGAAUCCAUAGGUUAAUGAGGCGAACCGGGGGAACUGAAACAUCUAAGUACCCCGAGGAAAAGAAAUCAACCGAGAUUCCCCCAGUAGCGGCGAGCGAACGGGGAGGAGCCCAGAGCCUGAAUCAGUGUGUGUGUUAGUGGAAGCGUCUGGAAAGGCGCGCGAUACAGGGUGACAGCCCCGUACACAAAAAUACACAUACUGUGAGCUCGAUGAGUAGGGCGGGACACGUGGUAUCCUGUCUGAAUAUGGGGGGACCAUCCUCCAAGGCUAAAUACUCCUGACUGACCGAUAGUGAACCAGUACCGUGAGGGAAAGGCGAAAAGAACCCCGGCGAGGGGAGUGAAAAAGAACCUGAAACCGUGUACGUACAAGCAGUGGGAGCACGCUUAGGCGUGUGACUGCGUACCUUUUGUAUAAUGGGUCAGCGACUUAUAUUCUGUAGCAAGGUUAACCGAAUAGGGGAGCCGAAGGGAAACCGAGUCUUAACUGGGCGUUAAGUUGCAGGGUAUAGACCCGAAACCCGGUGAUCUAGCCAUGGGCAGGUUGAAGGUUGGGUAACACUAACUGGAGGACCGAACCGACUAAUGUUGAAAAAUUAGCGGAUGACUUGUGGCUGGGGGUGAAAGGCCAAUCAAACCGGGAGAUAGCUGGUUCUCCCGAAAGCUAUUUAGGUAGCGCCUCGUGAAUUCAUCUCCGGGGGUAGAGCACUGUUUCGGCAAGGGGGUCAUCCCGACUUACCAACCCGAUGCAAACUGCGAAUACCGGAGAAUGUUAUCACGGGAGACACACGGCGGGUGCUAACGUCCGUCGUGAAGAGGGAAACAACCCAGACCGCCAGCUAAGGUCCCAAAGUCAUGGUUAAGUGGGAAACGAUGUGGGAAGGCCCAGACAGCCAGGAUGUUGGCUUAGAAGCAGCCAUCAUUUAAAGAAAGCGUAAUAGCUCACUGGUCGAGUCGGCCUGCGCGGAAGAUGUAACGGGGCUAAACCAUGCACCGAAGCUGCGGCAGCGACGCUUAUGCGUUGUUGGGUAGGGGAGCGUUCUGUAAGCCUGCGAAGGUGUGCUGUGAGGCAUGCUGGAGGUAUCAGAAGUGCGAAUGCUGACAUAAGUAACGAUAAAGCGGGUGAAAAGCCCGCUCGCCGGAAGACCAAGGGUUCCUGUCCAACGUUAAUCGGGGCAGGGUGAGUCGACCCCUAAGGCGAGGCCGAAAGGCGUAGUCGAUGGGAAACAGGUUAAUAUUCCUGUACUUGGUGUUACUGCGAAGGGGGGACGGAGAAGGCUAUGUUGGCCGGGCGACGGUUGUCCCGGUUUAAGCGUGUAGGCUGGUUUUCCAGGCAAAUCCGGAAAAUCAAGGCUGAGGCGUGAUGACGAGGCACUACGGUGCUGAAGCAACAAAUGCCAUGCUUCCAGGAAAAGCCUCUAAGCAUCAGGUAACAUCAAAUCGUACCCCAAACCGACACAGGUGGUCAGGUAGAGAAUACCAAGGCGCUUGAGAGAACUCGGGUGAAGGAACUAGGCAAAAUGGUGCCGUAACUUCGGGAGAAGGCACGCUGAUAUGUAGGUGAAGCGACUUGCUCGUGGAGCUGAAAUCAGUCGAAGAUACCAGCUGGCUGCAACUGUUUAUUAAAAACACAGCACUGUGCAAACACGAAAGUGGACGUAUACGGUGUGACGCCUGCCCGGUGCCGGAAGGUUAAUUGAUGGGGUCAGCGCAAGCGAAGCUCUUGAUCGAAGCCCCGGUAAACGGCGGCCGUAACUAUAACGGUCCUAAGGUAGCGAAAUUCCUUGUCGGGUAAGUUCCGACCUGCACGAAUGGCGUAAUGAUGGCCAGGCUGUCUCCACCCGAGACUCAGUGAAAUUGAACUCGCUGUGAAGAUGCAGUGUACCCGCGGCAAGACGGAAAGACCCCGUGAACCUUUACUAUAGCUUGACACUGAACAUUGAGCCUUGAUGUGUAGGAUAGGUGGGAGGCUUUGAAGUGUGGACGCCAGUCUGCAUGGAGCCGACCUUGAAAUACCACCCUUUAAUGUUUGAUGUUCUAACGUUGACCCGUAAUCCGGGUUGCGGACAGUGUCUGGUGGGUAGUUUGACUGGGGCGGUCUCCUCCUAAAGAGUAACGGAGGAGCACGAAGGUUGGCUAAUCCUGGUCGGACAUCAGGAGGUUAGUGCAAUGGCAUAAGCCAGCUUGACUGCGAGCGUGACGGCGCGAGCAGGUGCGAAAGCAGGUCAUAGUGAUCCGGUGGUUCUGAAUGGAAGGGCCAUCGCUCAACGGAUAAAAGGUACUCCGGGGAUAACAGGCUGAUACCGCCCAAGAGUUCAUAUCGACGGCGGUGUUUGGCACCUCGAUGUCGGCUCAUCACAUCCUGGGGCUGAAGUAGGUCCCAAGGGUAUGGCUGUUCGCCAUUUAAAGUGGUACGCGAGCUGGGUUUAGAACGUCGUGAGACAGUUCGGUCCCUAUCUGCCGUGGGCGCUGGAGAACUGAGGGGGGCUGCUCCUAGUACGAGAGGACCGGAGUGGACGCAUCACUGGUGUUCGGGUUGUCAUGCCAAUGGCACUGCCCGGUAGCUAAAUGCGGAAGAGAUAAGUGCUGAAAGCAUCUAAGCACGAAACUUGCCCCGAGAUGAGUUCUCCCUGACUCCUUGAGAGUCCUGAAGGAACGUUGAAGACGACGACGUUGAUAGGCCGGGUGUGUAAGCGCAGUGAUGCGUUGAGCUAACCGGUACUAAUGAACCGUGAGGCUUAACCUU
rnacentral:rRNA from 1 species